GCGGGAUUAGUUUAACGGUAAAAUAUCAGUUUUCCAAACUGAGGUCGCGGGUUCGACUCCCGCAUCCCGCA
rnacentral:tRNA from 1 species